rnacentral:lncRNA from 1 species
GGAGGUGCGGGGAUCAGGGAAAUAGGGGCGAAUGCAGUCAAUAUAUCUGAACUGGAUCUUGAGAGCGAUAUGGCACGGGAAAGAAAGCAGGAUGACCAGAUGGCCAGAACUGCAUUUUAAAGAGGGCACAAUUGACAGGAAAGAGGCCUGGGAACAGGAAGCUUAGUGUGAGCAAUCGCAGUUGGGCAUGAACUAAGGCAGGAGCCUGGCCCUGGGGAUGGAGCGAGGGAGCUGAGCAGUCAGCAGAAGCUAAAAGCACAGAGCCCCGUGGCUGAGUCUGAGUCGCAGGAGUGACGAGCAGAAUGCCCCUCAGAAGCUGAAAAACGCAUGUGACUGGGGCUUGUUCACUUGCCGUUUCCACUUAACCUUUCCUUCCCCACUGGAAGUGUAUGUAUCUCCACUGGUCCAGCUACGUUCAGGCUCUGGGAGGGGGACCCAGCAUCAUUUCCAGCUCCAUUCAGAGGAUGGAUGCCACCAUCAGUCAUGCUCAGAUCAUGAUUUCUCUCAGCAAUGCUCAUUGAAAAGCUCAUUGAAAGCAGAUUUUCGCAGAGUGGAGGUCUUCGAUCUCUCAAAUCUUUUCCCAGGCCUGGUGUGCCUCACCUCACUUCCUGCAUGGAACAGCCACUCUAGAGCAACCUUCUCCAGCUUUGGUUCCCCCUCCCAGCACACACGCCAUCCUCCUUCGGAAGUGACAGAUGACAUUUUGGUCUUGGGAUUUCCUCUUAGAAGCGAGCCUGUCACUUCUCCAGUCUGUGAUGAACGCACUCUGAAGAGCUUAAGGGCUGUUUGACUGCGGCUGAGGCAUCUAUUUUAGGUUGAGAAUUACUGACAUCCAGGAGCAUUUUUUUUAAUAGAAAGAAGAGUCUUAGAAAGAGGUGCCCUGCUAUCUUUAACAAAGCCACAUUUCUCUGCUACCUAGUGAUCACGAGUGGCAUGACACACUUUGAGAGCCAUAAAAUGUGGUGAUUACAAAAGUGGCCACAAUUUCUUCCCCAGAUGCAUGCCCUACCCUAGCAAUUGACUCUGUAGUUCUUCCAAUCAAGAGGGGAAGACUUUCUUUUCCUCUGGGAACUAAGAAAGUAAGAGUUUUCAAGGAAGAAAAGGGAUGAUUUGGGAGACGGUGUAUGACUCACUUGGUAUGGUACUUCAGGAGGCAUGUCUGGGUGCAUGGUCUGGCUGGGGAACAGAAUGCACUAGAUCAACCUCAGAGAUAAGGAGUGUUCAGAAGUUUUGGGGGGAAAUCAAGUAAAUGUUUUGUGAUUCUGCAAGAGAAAUCCUCAGACCACAUAGUGUCCAGAAAGGGUCAAGAGGAGGAUAACUUCAUUUAUUCUUUCAUUCAGAAAACAUUUAGCCAGAUUUUAAUUUGUAUCUCUCAGGCACAAGGAGUCAAGAAAGGUUAAUAGAUCACUUAUUUGAGUAUAACGUGGCGAUCCUAGAUGAGAUUAGCUCAAUCAACCGGAGCCCAUGUCAGAAACACCACCUAGACUUAGCAGAAUCAUGCUGUCAUGUAUAACUAAUUAGAACAAAUAAAAAAUUUUUAAAAAUGGCUAUAGUUUU